UACGGGGGGGGCAAGCGUUGUUCGGAAUUACUGGGCGUAAAGGGUUCGUAGGUGGCCUGCUAAGUCGAACGUGAAAUCCCUGGGCUCAACCCAGGAACUGCGUCCGAUACUGAAAGGCUUGAAUCCGGGAGAUGGGUGCGGAAUUCCAGGUGUAGCGGUGAAAUGCGUAGAUAUCUGGAGGAACACCGGUGGCGAAGGCGGCAUCCUGGACCGGUAUUGACGCUGAGGCGCGAAAGCCAGGGGAGCAAACGGG
rnacentral:rRNA from 1 species